rnacentral:rRNA from 1 species
CCUACGGGGGGCUGCAGUAAGGAAUAUUGGGCAAUGGAGGCAACUCUGACCCAGCCAUGCCGCGUGAAGGAUGACGGCCCUAUGGGUUGUAAACUUCUUUUAUACGGGAAUAAACCCGGGUACGUGUACCCGGCUGAAUGUACCGUAAGAAUAAGGAUCGGCUAACUCCGUGCCAGCAGCCGCGGUAAUACGGAGGAUCCAAGCGUUAUCCGGUUUCAUUGGGUUUAAAGGGGAUUUAGGCGUAAGUGGAGAAUACCUACAGCUUAACUGUAGAACUGUCGUUGAUACUGCAAGUCUUGAGUACAUUUGAUGUGGGCGGAAUGUGUCAUGUAGCGGUGAAAUGCUUAGAUAUGACACGGAACACCAAUUGCGAAGGCAGCUCACAAAACUGUAACUGACGCUGAGGCACGACAGCGUGGGGAUCAAACAGGAUUAGAUACCCUAGUAGUC